GUCUUCUCAAAGCACUUUAUGUAUCUGGUACCUUUGUGGCAGCAUCAUGCUAAUGUCCCUUUGUAAUUACUUGUGCUGGUAUAUAUUAGCAACAAUAUUCUCUACACCCGAGAUGUCCUUCAUCUCCUGUUCAACUAUCACAACUUCAAAAAUCACCUAUUCCCAGAAACCAUCCCUUACUGCUCCUUCUCCCUCCGCCCCACCCCAGUCCUCCAUGGCUCCCAUACUGCUUCUACUGUCUGUGUAGUUAUUGUGUCCAUCUCCUCCAGGGUGUGAACCACUCGAGGACAGAGAACUAGCAUCAUUUACCUCUGAUUCCAGAUGACGGCACAGGGCCUGGGGCAUAGUGAGGUGUUCAGUAACUGUUGAAAGAAAGAAAGAAUGAAUAGCAACAGACAACAAUAAAUAGAAAACAGACUGCACUCGAUCUGUACAGCCAGCCAGUGAGAUUGAAGGACCUGUUGGGCUUAGAAAAGCUCAGUAAAGGAGUGAUGACCUGGGG
rnacentral:lncRNA from 1 species